GAGGGUUAGCAGGUGUUAUUCUUUGCUUUCAGUCAAAAUGAAAGUGGAAAUAGUCCAGCCAGUCACAGAAGAAUUCAGACAGCUCACAUGGUUUGUUUACAGCUUCUUAUACAAAGAGACAUACUCUCCCUCCGCCGUGGAAACAUACCACGCCAAAUACAUUGGAACUAAGAGAGAGUGACUGUGACAGACCCCAAAUAAACCAUCUCAUUUUCACACCUUCUCUGGAGGUUGCGUGCCAUCACAGAAGAGGAAGCAAAGCAGCAGAUGAGAAUGAGGCCUCUGCUCAAAAACAACAUCCUUAUCUUCAGUAUCAUCAUCAGAUUGGCAAACUACCUGCAGUCUCUCCAGCCAAUCAGUGCCCAUCUGCACAGCACGCCGCGCCGGCCAAAUCCAGCCACGGCAGGGCCCCAGCCAGACUAUAGCCAGGGCUCAAAGAUGGCUCAGGCUGUCUGGGGCCCCGAAUAUCUGCUUCCAUAACAGCCCCAUCUGCCUUUGGCUUGGCCUGGUCCACUUUCAUCCCCGCUGGCCCAGCAGAUUAGGGAUCUUCCGCAGACUUUAUGGCCAAUUAAAGCACUUACUGCCACACAGUUGUUAGUCCCUACUUCUCAAUCCAACUUAAUCCAAGAUGCACACUGUCUCAACAUGUUGUUUUACCCCUGGACCUGAUGGAGAUUAAAACAGACAGAUUCAGAUGAAGUGGAGCUAUGAUAAAAUGGGUUCAUUGGAGGC